UUGUAAUAAAAAUUUACUUUAAUAAUAUAAAGUUUAAUAAUUAAAAUAAUAAAAAUAAUUUUAUUUAGAAAAGUUUAGUAUUUUUUAAAAAAUAAAUAAUUAAUGUAAUAGUUUAUAAUGUAUAGUGAUAGAAAAUUGAAAUAUAAAAAAUUAAUUAAUAAGUAAAUUUAAUUUAUUGUACCUUUUGUAUCAGGGUUGAUUAAAAAUAUAAUAAAAAUUUAUUAGUCUCGAAUUUAAGAGAUUUAAGAGUUUAUGAAAGUUAAUGUAUUAAAAUUAUUUUUAAUAAAUUUUUAGUAAUGAAAAGUUAGUCGUUCUUAAAGAUAUCUAGUUUUUAAAGAAAUGAAUUUAAUUCAGAUAGUAUAUUUAAUUGAUUUAUUUAGAAAAAAAAAUUUUAGUAUACUAUUAAUAUUUUAAGGGAUUAGCUUUAAAAUAUUUAUUAUAAAUUUAAAUAAAAAUUUAAAAAUUGUAGAAUUAGAAAUUUUUAUCAAUAGUUAAAAUGUUAUAAUUAAUUUUAUAAAUAAAAAAAUUUAUUAAAAUUUUAAUUAGUUUAUUUAAAUAAUAUUAUUAAUUAAGAAAUAGUUUGAAAUUAUGAUUAAAUUAGUAUUAUAAAAUUAUAUAAAUAUAUUAUAUAAUAUAGAUUAAAAUAAGGAAUUCAGCAAAAUUAUAUAUCCACCUGUUUAUCAAAAACAUGUCUUUUUGAGUAAAAUUUAAAGUCUAACCUGCCCACUGAUUUAUUAAAGGGCCGCGGUAUAUUGACUGUGCAAAGGUAGCAUAAUCAUUUGUCUUUUAAUUGAAGGCUAGAAUGAAUGGUUGAAUGAGAUAUAUGCUGUCUCAUUUUAAUAAAUAUAAAAAUUUAGCUUUUAAGUUAAAAGGCUUAAAUAAAGUUAAAGGACGAGAAGACCCUAUAGAUCUUUAUAUAAUUUAUGAAUUAAUAAAUUUAAGAAUACAAAAAUUUUAAAUUAUAAAAUAUAUUUGGUUGGGGUGACUGGAAGAUUUAAAGAACUAUUUUUAUUUUAUACCAUAAAUUUAUGAAUAAUUGAUCCAAUUUUAUUGAUUAAAAGUUUAAGUUACCUUAGGGAUAACAGCGUAAUUUUUUUAGAGAGUUCUUAUCGAUAAAAUAGAUUGCGACCUCGAUGUUGAAUUAAAGAUUAUAUUUAGAUGCAGAAGUUUAAAUGUUAGGUCUGUUCGACCUUUAAAUCUUUACAUGAUUUGAGUUCAGACCGGUGUGAGCCAGGUCGGUUUCUAUCCUUAAUAAAUAAAUAUAUUUUAGUACGAAAGGACCAAAUAUAUAAAAAAUAUUUUUUUAAAAAAAGGAAUAAUAUUAAAUAAA
rnacentral:rRNA from 1 species